UUUGCUACUCUCUUGGAUUUCAAUCGUGAUGAGGACACUAAGAGAAGUCCAGCCAUUCCUCCAGGGACACCCUGCCAGGAACAGUGGGCUCAGACUUUGAAACCCAACUGGCUGACUCGGAGUCGGCGCAGUCAUCGCUCGCGGGAUGCCUCGGUGUGGUCUACAGAUCGGCCACAUCAGAAUCACUCAGGGUGCUUAGUACAAAGGCAGAACCUGGCCCCACCACAGCCCCACUGAAGGAGAAUAUCAGGGGGGUGCGACUGAAGGAAAGCAUUUCUAGCUGACAUCUGAGAUUAUUCUGCCCUGUAAGCUUAAGGGACUCUGCACUAAGCUUCUAACCCCUUCCCUUCUAUAGGGAGGUGCAACUCUACUUAGGACACAUUCUGCAAAGAAUGUACAGCAGGGAAAGCUGGGCCUUGAUUAGGGGCUUGGGAGACAACUGUUAGGUGGAAAAGGGUGGCUCGUAGAUGUAUCAAGUAUCUACUACAUGCUAGGUACUUUGCUUAUCUAUAACCACCCCAUUUUAGAGAACAGAACAUUGAGGCCCACAGGGGCUCAUUACCCUUUACCAGCUCUCAUGACUAGUCAGUGACUGUGGCAUGUAGAAUCACAGUGACUGUGGCAUGUAGGAUUCCCACCCCUGUCCUUGAGUGUACACGUGAACCAUAAAUGUGAUGGGGUAGUCACUCCCAGUCAGGCUAUGUGAUGAGGCAUAGCUGACUUUUAAAAAGGGGGAGUGUCUGGGUGAGCUCCAGCUGGUCACAGGAGCCCUUUCCAUCUGAGUCUAGAGGCCAGAGGCAGAAGGCAGAGAGAUCGGAAGCUUGGCAAGGAUUCAACUGGGGAGAAGGUCUCCAUGGCUGGCUUUGAAGAUGGAGGGGGCACAUCUCAAGGAAUGCAGGUGGCCCCCAGCUGCUGAGAGCAGCUCCCAGCUGAUGGCCAGCAAGAAGACAGUGACCUGAGUCUUAAACGAGGAACUGAAUCCUGCCAGCAACCCAAAUGAGCUUGGAAGCAGAUUCUUCUUAGAAGCAUCCAGAUGAGAACCCCGUCAGCCUGGCUGACACCUUGAAUGUGAGACCCUGAGCUGAGAACCCAGCUGCGCUGUCUAAGAUUUGUGUCCUCCACAAAAUGUAUAUGUUGAAGGCCUUCCCCUUGCAGGUGAUAGUAUUAGGAAGCGGGGUCUUUGGGAGGUGAUUAGUCAUGAGGGCAGAGCCCUUGUGAAAAGGAUCAGUAUCCUUAUGAAAUAGACCCCAGGGCACUAGGUUGGCCCUUCCACCGUGGGAAGACACAGUGAAGAGACUCCAUCUAUGAACCACAAAGUGGGACUCCACCAGACCCCGAAUCUGUUGGGGCCUCCAUCGUGGACAUCCCAGCCUUCAGAACCGCGGGAAGUGUUUGUUGUUGAUAAGUUCCCUAGUUUAUGGAAUUCCCUUACAGCCCCUUGAACAAGACAUCAGCCAAAUGUCUCCUGGAAAACUGAGCUCAUACCUGGCUGGUGCUUGUGGUCAUUGUUAUGCAGCAAUAGAAAACUGAAGCAGUGACUAAAUGAGAACCUGAGGCCAGGUCUGUGUGACCCAAAGGGCCUUGCUUUCCUUGCUGAUUCACAUUGCCAUCCAAAAAUACCAAAACUAGGAACUCGGCUUUGUCAAGAGAGAUACAGAAUUAACUUCCAUUCCACUUCCUCAGAAUUUGUGAUAAACUUCUAUCAUCCCACUAUACAGAUAAGACAACUGAGGUUCAUGGAUAUGAUGCAACUUGACAAAACUCAAAGUUUGUGACCAGAUCAGCCUCUCUAUAUGCCCUCCCCCAACUCUGUGCCCUCCUCCCACCCUCCUACCUCUCUCGGUCCAUCUCUGGCUCCACUCCUCCCCUAGCAUCUUCUCUUUUCUGGGAUGAAUGACAGACAGGCGAGGAAGAUGGCCACUUACCUGGCCUGAGAUGGUCCUUUCUUCUGGGCAAAUGACCAUUAGCUUUACUGGUCCUGGACAAUCUAAGCAGAUGUCUUUUCCACCCGUUCCCACAAUUCCCCACCUUGGUCCCUCCCAUGGAGCCUGGGGCUCUGCUUGGAGACCCAGCCCCUCCAGCCCAUGCCCCACCUACCAUUGGUGUGAGGCAGCAAAGCAGUGGCAUGCAUGACACAUGGCAAAGAAAUGUGACACCACAGAGACACAGUGAAGGAGAGCUUAGCAUUGUUUUGUUUCAUGCUGCUGUUUUAUUGUACAAGGGAACCAAGAGAAGGGAGUAAAGGAGCAUGAAAUGAAACAGGUAUGUUAACAUGAGAACACAAUCACAGGCAUUUUAAUGAAUGGCAAAGCAGGUAGUGCAUAGAGAUGAAAUUCAUUUUCUGUCCUCGGAAUGUGGUUGAGAAUUUGAAAGAGACCUUGGGGCCACCUGAACUCCCACUUCCUGGGAGCAGAAAGGUGAGCAGAGGGCCACAUUUAGGUGCAGCAUGCAGUGUGCAAAGUCCCCUCUUCCAGUGCCUUCCCACUCUCCCCUUCCCCACCGCCCCCAAGCAAAUGUGCAAAGUUAGCCCCAUGGGGAAAACUCUGCCAUGGGUGAACACAUGGCAUGACCCCAUACUGGUCAUCCCAUUUGACACAGUCUAGCACAAGACCUUCUCAGUUAGCAACGACCCUUACUUCAGCCAUGAAACUCCAGACUACAGGAUUGACCAGUCACUACACUGUUGCUGGUCAGUCCUCUCCUAGAAGCUGCAGACAGAGGACAUGACAUCAACUUCUCCCCCUCCUCCCCUCAAAUAUAUCCUAACGUUCUCUGGAGAGCUGGAGGACCGCACUGCAAAAUUCUCAAAGAACAGAGAAGAUAGAUGGUUUGAGAUGACAAUGUUUUAAAUAUCUCUCAGGAAAUGCCUUAAAUAAAGAAUAAUGAUUUACUAUAUUGGACAACACCAACAGCUAGAAGAAAGCACAAGCUUACUCUAAGACUGAAGCUACUAGGUGAUGAUGGUGAUGAUGGUGUAUUAAUGGUGAUGGUGAUGGUGAGGAUGGUGGUGAUGAUAAUAAUAAUGAUAUGGUGAUGAUGGUGAUGAUGGUAGUGGUGGUGAUGUUGAUGGUGAUGAUGAUAGUGAUGAUGAUGAUGAUUGUGUAUUAAUGGUGAUGGUGAUGGUGAGGAUGGCGGUGAUGAUAAUAAUAAUGAUAUGGUGGUGAUGGUGAUGAUGAUAGUGAUGAUGAUGAUGGUGAUGAUGGUAUGAUGGUGAUAGUGAUGGUGAUGGUGGUGAUGGUGAUAAUGGUGAUAGUGAUGGCGAUGAAGGUGGUGACAAUGAUGAUGGUGGUGAUGAUGAUGAUAGCAGCUAGUGUUCGUUGAGGGCUUAUAAUAGGCCAAGAAUUGUCUUAGGUCUUUACUCAUAUUUUGUCCCUGGCCCUUAUAUUUUUACUUAAUAUUCACAAUGAAAGCAGCCUUUUCUCUAAAAGUCAAGUUGGAAAAUGGAACUCUAUAAAGGAAAUCCUUGUACUUACAGAAUAACUUAUAUCCUAGCACAAGCUAUGCACCCCAUGGAUAGAGGGGUUUGUUAAGUUGUUUAAAAUAUAACAUUAAGGAAUUCAAAGGUGUCUAAGGACACGGCAUAAUAGAGAUUUUCAUAGUGAUUUAAAUAUAUCGUUAAUAUUGUCCAAAUAAAUGUUUAUUUUUUAUGCUAUUUGGGAUUUCAACGGGCCCUGUGGGACACAUAGUUUAAACAUUAGCAGGAGAAGCUGCCACCUGCUGGAACAAUAGCAGCAGCCACAGAUGCUUGCAAGCCCUCAGAACCUGCAGUCCCUUCACUACCAAACAUGAGAAUUUCCUGGUGGACUCCAGGGUUGGAAAGCAGAGCACUGGCAUACACUGAUGUUGGGGAGAGGGAGGUGCAAGGUGGAAAAGAGCUGAUACCUGGAGUUGAGAUCAUGGUGAAGCCACACAAAUGCACACAGCCCUGAGUCCCUAGGAGCUGCAUAGAGCUUUCCAGGAUGGAUGGUCCCGGUUGGCCACUGGUCCUGAUCACCAACGAACUGCCCUGCCUGGCCCUGCCCACCCCUCUGCUUUAGCCUCUGCUGAUCUCCCCAAGUCUCCACUGCCUUCACCAGGCUAGCAGUCCUUGCCAACCCUUCCCAAAACAUUAUGUGGCUUCCCUAUAAUAUCACACCAUUUGGUUUAAUUGUCUCUCCUGUUGAACAGCAAAUGCCGCAAGGGUGUCUCUCUUGCUCACUGGUGAUCCCAAGCACUUAGCAGGAUGCUGGGCAUGUAACAGGUGCUGAAUAUCUCUGUUGAAUGUUGAGUGGUCAUAACAGAUAGAGGAAAACUGUUAUCAGAGCCUGACCCCUCUAUUCACAGAAGCUGGAACUCUGGAUCCCAGCCUUGGCAGAUUACAAGAAGCAAGAGAGUGAGCAAGAAAGAGAGAGUGAGAGAAGAGGACAGAAAGAAAGGGGGAGGAAAGAGAGAGAGAGCUAUUUCUGAGCAUCCACCCUAAGCCAGACACUCUCUACUAUCAAUAACAUUCUAAGAGAAAUGAUAACUUCAGACAGGUUGAAGGUCAAAGCCACCCAGCUAAAAUAUCAAAACUAUGUCUGCCUAACCCCAAAGUCCACAUUCCUUCCCCUACCAUUCAAGCCUGGCUUCAGAAAAAAAGCUGUUCUCAUACCAUCUAGCUUCAAGGAUUAAAAUUCCUGGAACCACAAGACAGAGAUGUGUUCAUUUAGCGAUGUUUAAGGAUCAACCCUUUACAAGUGCUGUUCUGACUGGAAGCUGAUAGCAAGCGGGUUUCUUAAAGUUCUGCAUCGAAAGUAGUCAAUGACUGCUGGAAGACAACACCUCCCUCUUUCCCGUGGCCAUCCCACAGCAUUUCCCAUUGACAAAGUUGCUGGGAAUUCCAAAGUUUUCCUGAAUGGCUGCUUGGCUGACCAAGGAGUAUCAUGGAAUGUACAUCUCUCUCUAUGCCACCUUUGAACAUACAGAAACUUCCAUAUAAGGAGAGGAGACACUUCUUCCCUCUCCUAGCUUGACAACCUUCUACUCAACUGUUUGGUUCAGCAUCCAUCAUCACUGCCUCACAGUGAUUGUCAAGCACUUGUUUGGUUCAACACUUCAGGGACUUCUCCUGCAGUCACAUGGCCUUGCUUCUGUAGCCACACUGCCCUCCUCCUGCAAUGCUCUCAGCAAAUGCCUCAAAUAUUCCCUAAUCAUUAAAAUUGAUCUUACCUUAACUUAGCCUUCAGCUUCCUUCCCUUCCACUUCCAAAUCUCUCUGAGUUGCAACAUCAGAGAGUAAACUAUUCCUCUCCAAAACCAAUCUUGGCUUUGGUCUGAUCCCCUCCAAUUUUUUCCAGGCUUUCUCUUAUCAAUUAUUCUUUAUUUUAUCUCCCCACCUCCCCAGGAUCAUCCCCUCAUUUGGCAAACACCCCCACCUCACGCUGUCCUUUGGAAAUGCCUCCUCUCAACCCUCCAUUAUCUAAGUUACCACUAUAUCUCUCGCCUUCCUCCCAAACUACUUGAAAUGGUAAUCUACACACACAGCUCACUCUCCUUACUUCCAACAUCUUCUCCUUUAUUCCCACAAAAGUGACUUCUUCCUUCACUAUUCUGCUGAAAUCACCCACUCAAAAUCCCCAGUGAUUUCCUUACUGCUAAAUCCAGUGGCCUCUGCCAGUCCUUGACAUGCUCAACUUCUUGAUUCGGCACGGCAGGAUGGGCUAUGCUACAGCAACUCCAAACUCUCUGUGACUUCUUAUAAUAAAGGUCUGGUUUUUUGUUCACAUAAAGUCCUGUGUGGGCCAGGAGGGACUCCCAGGUCCACAGCAGGGGAUGAGAUGGAGGUGGAGCCCCAUGCUCUGAUCCACCUCAGCAGAGCCCAUGUCUAUUGGCCACAACUAGACAUGUGGCCCCAGCUAAUUGCAGGGUGGCUGGGAAGUGGAAGGGUGCCCAGGGACUAUCCAGUAGGCACUGUCUCUGCUCAACGCUGCUGGCCACCCACCCGUAUCCCCCACCCAUCUUCUCAGGGAGGCGUCCUAACAGCUCUGCCACUCCGUUCUUAACUCUUCUCUCUCCUCUUACACCUUUAAAAUGUGGCCUCGUCCAAGCUUCCCUCUUAGCCUUCUUUUCUCUCUCCAUCCACUCUCUGGCCCUCAAGUUCCAUCCACUGUCACAUCUUCAACAGUCAAUUCUGGAUCAAUGAACCCAUCUAAAAUUACUCCCCUUCCUUAAUUCAGAGUUACUCGAACCUACUUUCCUUUCCUUCAGAGCACUUAUUUAUUAUCUACUGCCUGUCCCCGCACCCCCAGCUAAAAUGCAAACUCGAUGAAAUAAGACUUGAUGAUCUUAUUCAGUUCUGCAUCCGUUAUGCCUAGAACAGGAAUGGAUUAGAAAUCUCCCUCACCAGAAGCACAUUUUCAACCUCGUGUUGGGACUUAGGAGUAGGGGGAGGAUCCAGGUAAAAAAGGACUUGAAUGCUUGACUUCAUGACACUGUAAAAUCGUUGCCCAGGCUGAAGUGCAGUGGCGCGAUCUCAGCUCGCUGCAACUUCUGCCUCCCGGGUUCAAGCGAUUCUC
rnacentral:lncRNA from 10 species